GACGAACGCUGGCAGCGUGCCUAAUACAUGCAAGUCGAGCGCAGGAAAUCGACGGAACCCUUCGGGGGGAAGUCGACGGAAUGAGCGGCGGACGGGUGAGUAACACGUAAAGAACCUGCCCUCAGGUCUGGGAUAACCACGAGAAAUCGGGGCUGAUACCGGAAGGGUAAUCGGACCGCAUGGUCCGAGGAUGAAAGGCGCUUCGGCGUCGCCUGGGGAUGAAUUUGCGGUGCAUUAGCUAGUUGGUGGGGUAAUGGCCCACCAAGGCGACGAUGCAUAGCCGACCUGAGAGGGUGAUCGGCCACACUGGGACUGAGACACGGCCCAGACUCCUACGGGAGGCAGCAGUAGGGAAUCUUCCACAAUGGACGAAAGUCUGAUGGAGCAACGCCGCGUGAACGAUGUAGGCCUUCGGGUCGUAAAGUUCUGUUGUAAGGGAAGAACAAGUGCCGCAGGCAAUGGCGGCACCUUGACGGUACCUUGCGAGAAAGCCACGGCUAACUACGUGCCAGCAGCCGCGGUAAGAC
rnacentral:rRNA from 1 species